rnacentral:misc_RNA from 1 species
UACGUAGGGUGCAAGCGUUAUCCGGAUUCACUGGGCGUAAAGGGUUGCGUAGGCGGUCUAACAAGUCAAAACUGAAAUUUCCAUGCUCAACGUGGAACCCGGUUUUGAUACUGCUAGACUUUGAGUCUCGGAGAGGUAACUGGAACUUGCAGUGGAGCGGUGAAAUGCGUUGAGAUUGCAAGGAACACCAAAGGCGUAGGCAGGUUACUGGCCGAGAUCUGACGCUGAGGCACGAAAGCCAGGGGAGCGAAUGGG